UUAAACUUCUCCAGCCUCAAGCUAUCUUUGAGCUCUGAUGUUGUAAAGCUAUGUGUUCUGUAACACUGUGCCAGGAGAUAAGAAGCUUAAAAGGAAAAUGCCAAUGUUUUUUCUUUUUCCAACUAGAUAUAAGUGACUGGAAAUCUACUAGACUAAAAUCUCAUUUGGUGUAAGAAAGAUUUUUAGACUUCCCAAUUACCAAUCAGAUAAUCUCCGUUCUUGCAGAACAUAGUAAGUCUCUCCAAUAUUUUGACCCUAAUUUUAUGCAAUCCUAAUCCAGCAAACCCUUCACAAAGACAUAUAGAUAAUUCUAACUAACCCCCAAAAAGACAAAGAAAAAACAUAGAGACUGCCUAAAGAAAAGCUAGAGAUAAAAACAGUAAAAUAAUCAGACCACAAAAUAUAGAUUGUUACCUAACUGGCAAUGAUCUGAUAUACAUGCCCAUCCAUACACUUCUGAACUGAUCUAUCAGAUUCAACAGCCGAAUACCACUCGAUCUUGAUAGUAAAUAUCCUCUCAGCGUUCUUAUAGACUUUUAACCUUACUUUCAGG
rnacentral:lncRNA from 1 species